ACAUCCAGAGAAUUUAGCAGAGAUGCUUUAGUGCCUUCGGGAACUCUGAGACAGGUGCUGCAUGGCUGUCGUCAGCUCGUGUUGUGAAAUGUUGGGUUAAGUCCCGNAACGAGCGCAACCCUUUAUCCUUUGUUGCCAGCACGUAAUGGUGGGAACUCAAAGGAGACUGCCGGUGAUAAACCGGAGGAAGGUGGGGAUGACGUCAAGUCAUCAUGGCCCUUACGAGUAGGGCUACACACGUGCUACAAUGGCGCAUACAAAGAGAAGCGACCUCGCGAGAGCAAGCGGACCUCAUAAAGUGCGUCGUAGUCCGGAUUGGAGUCUGCAACUCGACUCCAUGAAGUCGGAAUCGCUAGUAAUCGUAAAUCAGAAUGUUACGGUGAAUACGUUCCCGGGCCUUGUACACGCCGCCCGUCACACCAUGGGAGUGGGUUGCAAAAGAAGUAGAUAGCUUAACCUUCGGGAGGGCGUUUACCACUUUGUGAUUCAUGACUGGGGUGAAGUCGUAACAAGGUAAGCGUAGUGCU
rnacentral:rRNA from 1 species